CACCUGCUUCUGGGCCAGAGACAUCAUGUGCUUUUCAUUACCAUCAUUAGUCAUUGUCAGUACAUCUUGUUACAAGAGCAAAGCAUAAAAGAUCAAGACUGCUGGCCCCCCUGUAAUAAUGUAGUGUAUACUGAAGACUUUUAUGUAUUUUGCAUAGGUAUAGGACUGAGUGAAAUGCUUAGACAGUAUCUGAGAUGUUAGUUAUUUUUAGCUGUCCUAGUGUAGUUAUUUAGAAUUAAAACUUUCUUGUUGCUGUCACUGUGUUCUGCUAUCCUGCAGCUGUUCUGCAUCCCCUGUGAAGGCAGAGAGGGGCUGACAGUCACCAUGUUCUCCCAUUUGGUGGGCUGCAGUCAGGAAAAAGUGGAGCCUGCUCUACCUAAUGACCUACAAAACCCUCCCCUGUUCAUGACAAAAUCUAAACCUGUGCUUCAGUACUUCUGGUUGCAUGGCCAAGGAAGGUCCUCUUGGAGCUGUUCUUUUCCAUGUGUUGUGACUGCAUCACCAACAACUCCUCUCAAGAAAAAUUAUAAAGAGAGAAGCUACUUUGUCUCUCAGUCCCUUGCAUCUUUGCCCUCUUUUCUGAGAAUGACAAGCAAGACCAGCUGUGAUGAUGUUUUCUGAAGGAAAUAAGAAGCCUUAUUUAUACUGUGUCAACUGAGAAUCCCAAACAUGCUUAACAUGCUUUGGACUUCUGAGUAGCCCAGUGAAGCCAAGCACAAUGUUGCUGAUGGUUAUGGUGAGGCCAAGAUUCUGUAUGCACUUUUUCAUUAAAUAGGGCUGGAAAAACUGCAUGAAGUAUCUUUUUUUCCUCGUCUCCAUUUUCAGUUCCAGACUAAGACAGAGUCAGAGCUUCAUGAAAGCCCAGAUACUAUUUUCUUUCUUUCUUUUUUUUUUUUUUUUUUUAAAGUAAUUAUUUGAUUCUUUGUAUAUUUGUGGGGGUUACAGUAUGUACAACUAAUGUGACUCAGGCUCAGGAUCAAAAGUCUGGGUUGACUAUGACUGAACUUCUAAUUUCCUCCAUACUAAGUCACCCAACCUUUCUC
rnacentral:lncRNA from 1 species